AGAGUUUGAUCCUGGCUCAGGAUGAACGCUAGCUACAGGCUUAACACAUGCAAGUCGAGGGGCAGCAUGUCGGUUGCUUGCAACCGAUGAUGGCGACCGGCGCACGGGUGAGUAACGCGUAUCCAACCUACCCUUGUCCAUCGGAUAACCCGUCGAAAGGCGGCCUAACACGAUAUGCGGUUCACCGCAGGCAUCUAACGUGAACGAAAUGUGAAGGAGAAGGAUGGGGAUGCGUCUGAUUAGCUUGUUGGCGGGGUAACGGCCCACCAAGGCGACGAUCAGUAGGGGUUCUGAGAGGAAGGUCCCCCACAUUGGAACUGAGACACGGUCCAAACUCCUACGGGAGGCAGCAGUGAGGAAUAUUGGCCAAUGGACGAGAGUCUGAACCAGCCAAGUAGCGUGCAGGAUGACGGCCCUAUGGGUUGUAAACUGCUUUUAUAGGGGGAUAAAGUGUGCCACGUGUGGCAUAUUGCAGGUACCCUAUGAAUAAGGACCGGCUAAUUCCGUGCCAGCAGCCGCGGUAAUACGGAAGGUCCGGGCGUUAUCCGGAUUUAUUGGGUUUAAAGGGAGCGUAGGCCGGAGAUUAAGCGUGUUGUGAAAUGUAGACGCUCAACGUCUGCACUGCAGCGCGAACUGGUUUCCUUGAGUACGCACAAAGUGGGCGGAAUUCGUGGUGUAGCGGUGAAAUGCUUAGAUAUCACGAAGAACUCCGAUUGCGAAGGCAGCUCACUGGAGCGCAACUGACGCUGAAGCUCGAAAGUGCGGGUAUCGAACAGGAUUAGAUACCCUGGUAGUCCGCACGGUAAACGAUGGAUGCCCGCUGUUGGUCUGAAUAGGUCAGCGGCCAAGCGAAAGCAUUAAGCAUCCCACCUGGGGAGUACGCCGGCAACGGUGA
rnacentral:rRNA from 1 species